UACGUAUGGUGCAAGCGUUAUCCGGAUUUACUGGGUGUAAGGGGAGCGCAGGCGGCACGGCAAGCCUGAUGUGAAAGCCCGCGGCCCAACCGCGGGACUGCAUUGGGAACUACCGGGCUGGAGUGCCGGAGAGGUAGGCGGAAUUCCUAGUGUAGCGGUGAAAUGCGUAGAUAUUAGGAGGAACACCAGUGGCGAAGGCGGCCUACUGGACGGUGACUGACGCUGAGGCUCGAAAGCGCGGGGAGCAAACAGG
rnacentral:rRNA from 1 species